rnacentral:snRNA from 1 species
GGGUAUGAGGGCAAUCUGGCUGCUACAGCAACUGUCAUCCCACUGACUACCAGGGUUAUUUGGCUCAUCUAAUUGGCUAGGCAGGUGCCCCCUCUUCCCUCGCCACUCUACAUGUGUCCUUCCCACAGCUGUGUGCUUGGUGGAAGAGGACAACCUUUCCUGAUAGGUCAACCUUCCCUGAUAGAUCAAGGGUACAUGAGUAGCUGCAUUCCUCUGCUGGAGCCUCCAAACAAGCUCUCAAAACCCACAGAGCGAACAUAUCACUUAACAGAAAUAUUAAGUGCCUCAUACCUAAAAUGAGAUCAAGAAAGGAUGUCCCCUUUU